CGUUGUCAAGAAAUAAAAGUUCAAGUCAGAACCAAAAUAUCACAGACGAUUCUUCGAAUUCUGCAGAAACAGUCUCACAACUCUGAACCUAAAAGAAGAAAACAAUCCACCCUUGAAAGUUGCUUAGAGAGAAGUGUAAGUUUUGAAGAAGGCAGAUAGAAACAUAAUGAAAUUACUCAGGCAUUAAUUUAUAUGAUAUGUAAGCUCAAUUUCCCACGAUCAUGUGUGGAAAAAAGUGGUUUGCAAAAAUUCAUUCGUACUGUUAGUUCUCUCCAUAAGCUUCCAUCCAGAAAAGGGGUAUCUGGUUUAAUUGAAAAUAGAUAUAAUACUACGAAGGCGAUCCUUAUGAAAGUUUUAGACGAGGCGAAUUUCUAAUAUUUCACCAGUGACAUACUCACAAUCACUAAUUCAACAAGAAGUUUUUUUGGUAGUGACAGUUCACUUUAUCGUUACCAUCAAAGAAAAGAAUUUGUCUGCUAUCCAGAGUAUAAACCUAUGCGCGCAAAAACUAUCACAGAGUUAUACAGCCCAGUACAUCACAAAAACAUGGAAUGAUAUCUGCGACGAAUUUGCUAUUGAUAGAAGUAAAAUUAUAUCGAUCACUACAGAUGGUGGCGCGAAUAUGGUUGCAAUAGUGCGAUUGUUUUUAGGAAAAGAUCAUAGGAUUCCCUGUUUAGCUCAUUGUUUAAACUUAUUGUUGAUGGGGUACUAAAUGAAAUUCCAGCAUUUUCAGCACUUUGUGAUCACGUUAAAAGUAUUAUUACAUUUUUUAAACAAUCUGUAAAUGCUUCAGACCAAUUACGAGCGGAGCUACAAGCUUCAGGAAAAAAAGAAGGCGAAGUUUUGACAUUGAUCCAAGCAGUCAGCACUAGAUGGAACUCGUGCUUAGAUAUGCUAGGACGGUGUUAAAUUGUCAGGAAUCGUAGCUAAAAUUUUAGCCACUAAAAGCCAAACUAACAAGAAUACGCCUGAUAUGGUAGCAAUUUCGCAGCUUAAAGUAAUUUGAGACCUGACUACUCUUCUAGGUCCUUUUAAAGAAUCUACUGAAAAGAUCAGUGGAGAAUAUUAUGUUACGUCAAGCUUGGCAAUUCCUGUUUCUAAUUUACUUCGUCAAGUUACUGAUUAAUCAACGCCAUCGACUACUCUAGGAGAAAUUGUUAAAGAGGCAUUACUUAAAAAAGUCGAAGAAAAACUCGUUCCCCUUGAGAAAAAUACUUUUCUUUCGGUGGCGACUAUAUUAGACUCACGGUUUAAACGUCUUCAUUUCACGUCUCCACUCGCUGUCUUCAGUGCUAUUUCAAGACUCAGCAAUGACAUUCAGAUCCAAGACCAGCUCAAGCAUCACCAGAAGCUAGCUCGUCGUCUAUUUGGUGUAGGCAUGAAAAAUUAAUAACGCUUAGUUCAAAUAGAGCAGAAAUUCCAAGCUCUGGCAGCAUUCCCAAUGAACUAAAACAAUAUUUGGACCAACCAUUAAUCGACCGAAAAUCAGACCCGAUAGAAUUUUAGGUAAAUUGUCGCCAUUUCACACCAGUUCUAUCUGAAAUAGCUUUAAAAUAUUUGAUUUGACAGGCUUCCUCUGUAGCAUCUGGAAGACUUGCUUCGGCUGUUAAUUUAGCUGUUCCAGAUAAUAGAAGCAGUUUAACUGAAGAGCAUAUUAAAGAGCGAGUACUUUUAAUGUCUAUACCAGAUGAUUACUGGUUUGAAUAAAAUUCAGAUUACUAACCGCUGUUUAAAUUUUCAU